GUCGACUACCAGGCUGCGUUAGGAGCUACCGUCUUCAGCUUUUUCUCGCUGCUGAGAGCUGUUUUGUUACUCAGUAAAACUCUUCUCCACCGUGCUCACCCUUCAGUUGACCGUGCAACUUCAUUCUUCCUGGACAUAAACCCGGGACCCACAGAACAGCGGGUGCAAAAAGGGCUGUAACGCUUUCCUGGCCGGAUCGCCAAGCUGCAGGUAAGAUGUGCCUGCUUCACCUACUGGCGUGAAUGUAAACUUUCUGAGACCUUCCCAGCCAUGUGGAACUACAUGAUCUGACAUAUUAAACUGAGGCAUAAAAGACAGGUGAUUGUCCACAGUUGCAGAGUUGCCAAGGUUCAGAAUUGAGACCUUAACCUUUGCCUUCAAAUCUCAGGAUCAGUGUUGUUGUUUUUACCAUGGUCACAUUUCAUUUCAUUUUUAGUGACUCUGCAAUGACCAUGGACAUUAUUUUUUAAUUGUUAAGGAACAGAGAGUAAGGCUGUGCCCUAAGAGACUGGUCAAAAUGGCCAGGUAAUAGGAGAAACCAUCAAGCUAAUUAACACAAGAGCACAGAGCAUAUAAACAAACAUGCACACUAACACCCAGGAUGGAUAUAUCUAAGUUUGCUCAUCAGACCGAAAGUUUUCCAAUCUGGCAUGCUCCAGACUGCCAAGUGACAAAUAACAAAAGAAGCUAUGAGACCUGGGAAGAAGCCUGUGCAAAUGAGGAAUCUUGGAGCUAAAUCUCUACUAGCUUAGUGGAAGUCCCUUCUGCUUACAAAUGGACUUUGGUGAAUCUGACUGUUACGUGUCUUGGAGUUCCUCUUCUCGAGGAAGUUCUCCUGGAUAAUAUCCUGAAGAGUGUUUUCCAAGUUGGUUCCAUUCUCCCCAUCACUUUCAGGUACACCAAUCAGAUGUAAAUUUGGUCUUUUCACAUAGUCCCAUAUUUG
rnacentral:lncRNA from 1 species